rnacentral:lncRNA from 1 species
GAGAAUACCCAAGUCCAGCGAUUACAGCCAGGGUGGCUGGGGCCAUGACAAAAACUAGCCCAAAUUUCUAUCAUGUUCCAAAUCUUUCCCUCAAUGGACCUAAAUAUACUAUUAACAACGGCAGCACUAUCCAUCUCAGUGGGAGUUUGAGGGAGACUCAAUUAAACGCAGCUCCAAAAAAUUUUAGCGUAUUCAUCAAUUGCUCACAUAGGUUGAACAGCCGCAAUUUUAACCUACAACCCCACCAUCACAAUCUUAAAUCCAUUACUUUACCUGAUAUUAACAGUAACCAUAUUUAUAUUAAAUAUAAGUGCUACAACAUGAUCACUAUCCUAUAUGUGAAAUCAGUUACCACUACUAACAUCCAUAGUGCCUGUUACUCUACUAUCCCUAGGAGGACUGCCCCCACUAACAGGAUUUCUACCCAAAUGAGCCAUCACUCAAGAACUAACAAAAAAUAAUAGCCUCAUUAUACCUAUACUCAUAGCCACCAUAGCCCUGCUCAACCUGUAAUUUUACAUAUGCCUAAUUUAUUCCACAUCACUAAUGAUAUUUCCAACAACAUAAAAAUAAAAUGGCAAUUUGAAAACACAAAACAAACCCUCUUCUUGCCGUCACUUAGCCCCAACGCCCUGAGAUCCUGCAUCU